rnacentral:lncRNA from 1 species
UAAAACAGAAGUCAAACCAAAAGUCAAUCAACAAAACUAGGUUAUAAAUAAGUCAUGAAUAAAUUAAAAAUGUGAAAUAAAAAUCCAAGAAAAAGUCAGGUUGACCAUGGGGCAGUGGUCAACCUUCAUCCCAAAAAUCAAAAGCUGAAAAUAAUUUUUAGUUAUAAAAAUAAAAUCAAGAAUCAAAUGUAUGCUAAAAUGAACCACUUAGAAUGAAUAAUUAAAUUAAAAUAUUUAUACUAAAUAAAUGCGAAA